CCGGGGGACAGGCCCAUGGCUCCUCAGAAGCACGGUGGAGGCGCGGGGCCCAGUUCGGGCUCCGCCGGCGGCGCCGCGGGAGGAGGAGGUGGAGGAGGAGGAGGAGGAGGCGGCGGGGGGUUCGUGGGCUCAGCGGCCGCGGCGGCUCCGAGCGGUAAAUCCGGCGGUGCCGCGGGAGGAGGAGGAGGAGGCGGCGGGAGCGGGUACUCGGGCGGGUCCUCGGCCUCCUCGGCGGCGGCGGCGGCUGCGGCGCUGCCCCCCGUGAAGAAACCGAAGAUGGAGCAGAUCCAGGCCGACCACGAGCUCUUUCUUCAGGCCUUCGAGAAACCAACACAGAUAUACAGAUUUCUACGUACCCGGAAUCUAAUAGCACCAAUCUUUUUGCACAGAACUCUCACUUACAUGUCCCACAGAAACUCCCGAACAAAUAUCAAAAGGAAAACAUUCAAAGUAGAUGACAUGUUAUCAAAAGUGGAGAAGAUGAAGGGAGAACAAGAAUCUCACAGCUUGUCUGCUCAUUUGCAACUUACAUUUACUGGGUUCUUCCAUAAAAAUGAUAAGCCAUCACAAAACUCAGAGAAUGAACAAAAUUCUGUAACUCUGGAAGUUCUGCUUGUGAAGGUGUGCCACAAGAAACGAAAGGAUGUCAGUUGUCCGAUAAGACAGGUUCCUACAGGUAAAAAGCAGGUGCCUUUAAACCCAGACCUCAGCCAAAUAAAACCAGGCAACUUCCCAUCGCUUGCGGUUUCCAGCAAUGAGUUUGAGCCGAGCAACAGCCAUAUGGUGAAGUCUUACUCAUUGUUAUUCAGAGUAACUCGCCCAGGAAGAAGAGAGUUUAAUGGACUGAUCAAUGGUGAAACUAAUGAAAACAUUGAUGUAAAUGAGGAGCUUCCAGCUAGAAGAAAAAGAAACUCUUCAAAUCGUGAAGAUGGGGAAAAGACAUUUGUAGCACAAAUGACUGUAUUUGAUAAAAACAGGCGCUUGCAACUUCUGGAUGGAGAAUAUGAAGUGGCCAUGCAGGAAAUGGAAGAGUGUCCCAUUAGCAAGAAAAGAGCAACGUGGGAAACAAUACUUGAUGGGAAGAGAUUGCCUCCGUUUGAAACAUUUUCUCAGGGACCUACACUUCAGUUUACUCUUCGUUGGACAGGAGACACAAAUGAUAAGUCUACCGCUCCGAUAGCUAAGCCUCUUGCAACACGGAAUUCUGAAAGCCUCCCUCAAGAAAGCAAGCCCAAUUCUGUUAAACCUACUCAAACUAUAGCUGUGAAAGAAUCCUUGCCAACAGACCUUCAAACAAGGAAGGAGAGAGAUGUUUUAAAUGAACCUCGACAAAAGUUGCGAAUAUUUUACCAGUUUCUUUAUAACAACAACACGAGACAGCAGACGGAAGCCCGAGAUGACUUGCAUUGCCCGUGGUGCACACUGAACUGUCGGAAGCUGUAUAGUUUACUGAAGCAUCUUAAACUUUGCCACAGCAGAUUUAUUUUCAACUAUGUUUAUCAUCCAAAAGGUGCUAGGAUAGAUGUCUCUAUCAACGAGUGCUAUGAUGGCUCCUAUGCAGGAAAUCCCCAGGACAUCCAUCGUCAACCCGGAUUUGCCUUCAGUCGGAAUGGACCGGUCAAAAGAACUCCUAUCACACACAUACUUGUUUGCAGGCCGAAGCGCACGAAAGCGAGUAUGUCAGAAUUUCUUGAAUCUGAAGAUGGAGAGGUAGAACAGCAACGAACGUACAGCAGCGGGCACAAUCGGCUCUAUUUCCACAGUGACACUUGUUUACCUCUGCGUCCACAAGAAAUGGAAGUAGACAGUGAGGAUGAAAAGGACCCAGAAUGGCUACGGGAGAAAACCAUUACUCAAAUUGAAGAGUUUUCUGAUGUUAACGAAGGAGAGAAAGAAGUGAUGAAAUUAUGGAAUCUUCAUGUUAUGAAGCAUGGGUUUAUUGCUGACAAUCAAAUGAAUCAUGCCUGUAUGCUGUUUGUUGAAAAUUACGGACAAAAAAUAAUUAAGAAGAACUUGUGUCGAAACUUUAUGCUACAUCUGGUCAGCAUGCAUGACUUUAACCUCAUCAGCAUCAUGUCGAUAGACAAAGCUGUUGCCAGGCUCCGAGAGAUGCAGCAGAAGUUAGAGAAAGGAGAAUCGGCCUCCCCAACGGAUGAGGAGUCUUCUGAGGAACAAAGCGGGACAACAAAUGGAUACAGUGAAAAUAAUACAAGAGAGAGAGUGUCAGACAUGGAUAGCAUCUCAGGUGUCACGAAACAGAGCAAGAAACAGAAGCUCUGAAAUCAAAAGUCAAGCGCCAUUCAACGGACAAGGAUUGAAGUGACAUUUUAGGGUGCAUGAGUUCUAUAAAGAAUUACACACGCAAAUACAGAUUCCAAACAGGCACUGCUGGAUGGAAAUAAAUGAUUUCAACAAGGAUAUUGUUCUAACAGGGUUUCUCUUCAGUUAAUUAUGCAAGUACUACAUGUAUAUUGGUUUUGGUGAUGUAAUGACAAUACUCUGAGAGUUUGAGCAUGAAGAGCAAUAUGAAAAUCUUUUUGUAAUUUUAGUAAUUAGUGUCUUAAGAACUUUAUGAAAUUUACAUAAUUUAAGUAUAUGUAAAACUGUUUUUAUAUCAAGAUUUUUGCAUCUGUAUCUGGCUGGUUUUUCCUACCAUGAAGUUGUGAAACAUUGGGGAAAGGGGAUUGGGAUACAGUUUCUGCUUUUCUUACUUAGAAAUUCUCCGGUUAGCUUUUUGUGGAAAUAACAUCUUGCUCUUUAAAGUUUAACCUGGAUCCUUGUAUUUGAAAUCAUUUAUCAAUUGAUCAUCAAUUACAAAUUCAUUUUUUUUACACUAAAGUUAUCAAAGUUGGCGAACUGAGCACUUCUUUGUCUUGUGCCUGUUUGGAAAAAUCUUGGCUUUUCACCUUACAGACACAGUGAAGUUCCACCUUGGCUUUUUGAGGUUACCAGCAGUUUGGGUUUCGUGGAUAAUUCUGAUGUAUCGAUCACCCAGUGUACCAUUUUAAACUUGAACCUUAGCUCCUUUAGAUGUUUCUUACACACUUACACAGCUACACAAACGAUUUGAUGUAAACCCUUUUUUUAUGGGGGUUCCGCAUCGUAGUGUGCCAUGCUAAAGCCGAGGGUCCGUAGUCAGUGAUGUAGGCACGACGUCGAUCCAUUUCUUCGGAAGUGUCUGCCUGCUGUUCUGCCUGAGCACAGACUGCAAGUCCAGGCCGUGGGUUUAGCUUUGGCUUUCGAGAUGCCACUCUUGAGGGAAAAAUGCACUGUAAAAUUGGACCAGAAAAUGUGUUGCACUUCUUAUGCAAGUACUCUGUGAUGUAUUGUAUUCAAUACAGAUACUAAGAUGCUGACUAAACUAUGUAUGAGCAGUUUUGCACUGCUGUUAACACAUUUUAUGCAUACGUUUACAGAUUUUUUCCAAUGGAAAGUGGUUUCACUACUGGUACAGUAUCAGCACCGAAGGGUUUAUUCCAGCAAGCACUGUGGUUGAGUGACAUCACCUCAAUUUUUUAUUAUCCUUUAAAAUAUUGCAUUUUUCAUAUUCUUUUAUUUAUAAAGGAACAAUGCUGCUGUAAAUACAGGUAUUUUUAAUUUUUUAUUUCAUUCCAUCACCAUGAGAUGCAGUUCCCUGGUUGUUCAAGGGGUCUAUAAGCUUUCUAAUGGUGUCUUCAGAAAUUUAUAAAAUGUAAAUACUGAUUUUGAUGGUCCUUAAGAUGUGUUUAACUGUGAGACUAUUUAACUAAUGGUGUGGAUGUGAUUCGUCAUCCAGUAUUAAGUUCUUAGUCACUGAUUUUGUGUACAAAAUAGGAAAGAGGGAAACUGCAGCUUUCAUCACAAACUCCUUGAAUUUGCCAGCUCGCUGAGUUUUAGCAAACUCUAAUUAUGCCUCCGGAUAGUACAUCGAGCAUUUCUCUCUGGCUUUAAUUUGCUAAAGCUGUGCACAUAUGUAAAAAAAUAGAUUAUUUUAGGGGAGAUGUAGUUCUAGAAUUAUUGCUUAUGUCAUUUCUUAAGCAGUUAUGCUCUUAAUGCUUAAAAGAAGGCUAGCAUUGUUUGCACAAAAAGUUGGUGAUCCCCCCAAAAAUAGUAAUGAAAUUACUUCUGUCCAGUAAACUUUGUAUGUCAUGUCAAUUUAUAAUAAAAGCUGAAAAAAUCCCUUUGUUUUCUAUUUAUAAAGAUGCCUUUUCUAUAUGUACCUUUGAUAGAUUUUGAAGAUACCGUGUAAGCUGGUUAAAAAGAAUUCGAAUGGUACAGUAGAUGUAAAAACAGAACCCCAAACAGAAUCUGAAAAACAGAACCAGUUUGGUUGUUUAAAUGAACCAUUGUUUUUACAUUAAAUGUUUAUUUGAAAUCUGCUUUUGUACAUAAAGUUCAGUAAUAUAAACUCUGACACCAUGGUUGUCCAGUCAUUUUGUCUGCGUGCAGCUGGCCGCAAGCAGCACUGUGUGUAACCUGUCUCUUCUGCAGGUCUUUUCAGUUUGGAUCCAUGUUCUUCCUUUGUGUUAUAAAGAAGGCUGUUUCUCUCCAGUCUUUGUUGCAUUUACGGUGUCUCCAUCGAUUACCAGGUUUUAGCUGGAUUAUAUGAACUUAUAUUCUCUCUUUUUGAGGGUAGAACUGAACACCAGACCUCAAGCUUAAAUUGUGUGUUCUUGCUCGGACAAUUCAGAUAACGGGAAAUGAGAUGUCACUUGUGAGAUGUCAGUUAGAAAAAUAAGACUUGUGAGGUUUUUCAAUGCACGUGGUUCGUGUUUCAAACAGAUUUUACAAGGUACUUUGUUUAAAUUGGUGUCAGUUUAAAAUAGAGCUGCUCUGGGACUGCGGGCCGUGGAUGCUCGAUGUGGUACAGCUGGAACAAGUAAGGAAUUGCACUGCUUGGCUGAACAGUGACUGUCUUUAAAAAGCAGGCACCAAAGACCUUUUUCCAUGUUAAAAAUCAUUCAGAUACUGAAAUCCAGGACACAACGGCUCAGUGCCGUAUCCUGACCUCAGCCUGCAUGAGCCUGAACAGCUUGGUGAUGUGAUCAGCUGGCGCUUGACUGACUGUUUCUGUGGGAGCGGAUCCUGGAUAUAAAUCGGAUACUGCAGGGUUUUCCAGCUGAGACGACAGGAGCUUUGACUGAAGCAGGCAAAUCAAAAUGGGAAGCAACCCUGCCACCUUCUUUUUGUCACAUCAAACAGGCUGCAGUAACUGCAAGCAGGAGAUGGAGACCUGUGCUCUCACACAAGAUUUUUACUGCACCAAUAGUUGCGUACAUAGAAGAUGGAGAAAGCCAAGAGCCAAGUACUACAUCUCCCUGCUCAGGAAAGUCUGACACAUCUUCAAACAGGAAGCUACAGUUGGACCUUGGAUGAGGAAAAGAACCGAUUUUGGAGGUUGCCUUCUAUUUUAAGAUUCAUGUCGCUAUAGUUCUUGUGGACACAUGCUUGUUAGUGCUCUGCCAUCCUGAAACAAUAUCCUCCAGGAGAGGAGUUCACAUUACCAAAAUGUAAAGCUGAAUAUUUUCAUGUGCUACCAAUAAAAAAAGAUAAAAGGCAUUGGUCUGAAAAAGAACCAAGGAAAACCUCAAAGUUCUGCCUUUAAUUUCACAGACAUUUCUGAGCCAAGAGAUGUUAAAUCUAGCAACAGAUUUCAAACAAAAGCUUUAGAUCCUUUUAGCUCAUCUCAGACAAGGCAACUGAGUACAUCCUCAUACCACAAUCAUCUAAAGUUAAGAUAAUUCGUUAUCAGGAAGGAAGAAAUGAAAUUCCACGGGAUGUCACUAAAAUAUCAUGAAAACCCCUUAAAUUGCCUUUGGGGGUUGCCUACUAUACAAUAAGUAGUUUUAUUUAACCAGGGAAAGAUGGAGUAAAGCUUCAGAGCCUCUGAGGUCUGUAAUUACAACUGACAUAUCCACAGGGAAGUUCUUCAUACCCCAUUAGACAGCAUCAGCUCAGGGAUAGGACUACAGGCAGCAAAGCUGCCAGGCUUAUGAAAUGUUUUGUGUAAAAUGAAAGGCUUGAAUUUCAUAAGAUCUGUUCUCCACUCAAGUUUCUAAUGCAAGUUUCAAGCAGGAGUCUGAUCAGCGCUUGUUCUCUCAGAUGUUAAAGCCAUCAGUGCCAGACUGCCAACCUUACCUGCCCCAAAAGCGCACACAAUGUUUUCACGUUCGAAGUCAUUAAGCGUGUGAAGAGUCUGGGAAGGGAAGCACCCACUGACCCAGGGUUAAAAGAAUCGGAGCCUCCCCUGACUUCUGACCAGCAGUAGCAGUGGCUACAAAGCUCAAGGAAGUUCAAUAUUCCACAGAUUUCUCAGCACGGGUUGUAUUUUACCACCCCCCAGGAGUUCGCUCUUGCCUCUGUUGUAGAUAGGUGUGGGUCCCACAAAAACAUCAUUUUCCUAAAGACCAAGGAAAUAGAGGAGAAGGAAGUUCAGAUGUCACACAGACACGCUAUCUUGACUAAGGCUGAGCUGAUGUAAAACUCUAACAUGCAUCACGACUCAGGUUUAUACACGAUUCAGAUGUAAUGGACUAGAGAAGGAAGCCUGGUUCA